rnacentral:rRNA from 1 species
GACAGAGGUGCCAAGCGUUAGGCGGAAUCACUGGGCUUAAAGCGUGUGUAGGCGGAUCGUUAAGUGUCUUGUGAAAUCCCACGGCUCAACCGUGGAACUGCUGGGCAUACUGGCGAUCUUGAGCGGUCUAGGGGCAGAUGGAACAAGUGGUGGAGCGGUGAAAUGCGUAGAUAUCACUUGGAACGCCAAAGGUGAAGACAGUCUGCUGGGGACCUGCUGACGCUGAGACACGAAAGCCAGGGGAGCGAACGGG